rnacentral:rRNA from 1 species
CCUACGGGUGGCAGCAGUGAGGAAUCUUGGUCAAUGGACUCAAGUCUGAACCAGCCAAGUAGCGUGCAGGAUGACGGCCCUCCGGGUUGUAAACUGCUUUUAGUUGUGAAUAAAAGGGGGCUCGUGAGCCCCGUAUUGUAUGUACCAUCAUAAAAAGGACCGGCUAAUUCCGUGCCAGCAGCCGCGGUAAUACGGAGGGUCCGGGCGUUCUCCGGAUUUAUUGGGUUUAAAGGUAGCGUAGGCCGGCUUUUAAGUCAGCUGUGAAAGUCCGCGGCUCAACCGUGGAAUUUCAGUUGAAACUGGAGGUCUUGAGUGCACACAGGGAUGCCGGAAUUCAUGGUGUAGCGGGGAAAUGCUGAGAUAUCAUGAAGAACUCCGAUCGCGAAGGCAAGUGUCCGGGGUGCAACUGACGCUGAGGCUCGAAAGUGCGGGUAUCAAACAGGAUGAGAUACCCGAGUAGUC